AAACAGGGGCACCUGGGUGGCUCAGUCGGUUAAGCAUCCAACUUUAGCUCAGGUCAUGAUCUCACAGUUCACGGGUUCAAGACCCGCACAGGACUCUGUGCUGACCGCUCGGAGCCUGGAGCCUGCUUCGGAUUCUGUGUCUCCCUCUCUGUCUGUCCCUCCCCCACUCACAUUCUGUCUC